AGGAAACAAGCCCUUAUCCUGCGGCCGGUCCAUCGGUGACAUCCAUCUUUUUAGCUCUGGAUUCCGUGCCAUGAAGGACGGGUAGUCGUGGAUUUCGUCAACGUCUCUGCGGUCGCGUUCGACAGGACGCCCAUAUACAAAUAAUUUGCUGCAGGAUGCUGUUGUAAGACUGCAUCCAAUGAUGAAAUCUGAAUCGGAAGUUGUAAGGGAUCGUCACCCCCACGAACUUGACGUGAGCCAGAGUUGGGCACAGGACUAACCGACACCGAAGACGAGGUUUGACCGGUUCGUCAGCGAAGGAAGCCGCUUUCGGGAGAUAUUGACGAAUCAUCUCCUGAACUACACUACGGACAAACUCCUCAUCACGUUGAUCGGAUCCUUUCUUCGACGGUGCCGCUUGUACGGGCACAACUUCCUCAGUUUCCGGUUUGAUAGGAGCGUCCGCAACUUUUAUCGCCGGUGGCGAUUGAACUGGACGAGGCCAUGACUGUUUGGCUUUCUCGACGCCAAUUCGCUCAGUCAGCAUCAGUGCUGGGAUCAGAGGAGACGGCUUAACUCCCGGGGGAAUUAAAGGAUCAAAAUCAUGCGACCGGAUGACAUCCGACAUGAGGUGGAGCUUACAAGAAUUGCGUGCUCAAAGGCCAUGCCAAACUCAUGGAUUGUGACAACAACCGAAAGCGGCUCGAUUAACUGCCUGCCCUGUUGAUAUCGAUCACCGAGUACCAAGCCUGCGCAUCAAGCGUGGGCAACAGACAGACAUGAUCCGCCAGUGGAUACUGCGAAAAAUCCUGUACUUCCAUUUUAUUACACUGAGGCGUCGGAGAAGACAAACCUGCUGGACCAUCCUGCUGAUACUGUGGAUCGAAAUUCUGGACCGGCUGCUGAAACUGGGGUUGCAUUACCGGCAUCAUCGGAUUCAUCAUCUGCACAGGAACAGGCAUAGCAGCUUGCAUCGGAAUGGGCUGCUGAAAUGUCUGCGCAAAUUGUACCGGAUGCUGCUCGACGAAUUGUGGAUGCUGAUAUACCGGGACCGGAACAAACUGCGGCUGGGGGUACACUCAGGACAGGCUGCACUGGAGCCGCGGGAUUUUGUUGCUGGGGAAUUACCGUCUCAAUAUAUGAACGGGAAUAUCCACCACGGUUAUUCCCAUAGUUUCCACGACCUCCGCGAGUUGGAUCUCGCGGAACCAUGCCGGUCUAUUUUCCUGAACUCCUUCAAGAAGUGCUUCAACUUGUUCCUCAUCGGACACCUUGAGCUCUUCAAACCACGGAAGGAAACUAUCCAGAAUUUUUCAAACCAUUGAAAGGAUGCUCCCGUAAAUGCGCCAGUAACUCUGCGACACGUGACCUCAUCGUUCCAAUUAUUUGUGGUUCGACACUGCUCCACAUUCAUGAGCCACUUCUGAAUCUUUUCGGGAUGUGAAUCAUCGAAGGUAAGCAGUUUCAUACUGCCUUCCGCUUUAUCAUUUCCUUUUUCAGCCAGCUUCGUGAUUAAUUCGACAACACAUUCUUGAGUAAGUGCUGCUCUGUCCGAUAUUUGCGUUUGUUUGAUUAACCAUUCUUCCAAUUGUGCGCUUCUGGAAGUGGAUUCAUUACUGGCUGUGCUACUAGGACGGCGGUGUUCGUCAUCGGCUAGUAUAUCAUCCAUCAGAUCAUUUUCGAUAUCAGAACCGUCCCUAUUUUCAGGUCUGCGCAUCUGGCGAUUUACGUCAUCAGAUGCUCUUUUAAAUAUCUCUUGCCGCAAAUCUGCUGACCGGUUUUUCCUCUGUGUAAUCGACGCGACUUCUUUUGGAAUCUGACUUUCAGAAGACGAACGGGGCAUAGCGUGUGCUUCCGAAAAUCCCACCCGUGAUUCCUGUCUGGGCUUCCGAAGGAUACUAGCCGGAUUGGUUACAACAGCUGGAGGCUGUUCAUUAGACGCCGAAAAGUUCUGGGGAUCAAACAAGGAAAGGGGAGUGGACCGCAACACAUCACCUGUCGCUACCGGCGCCUCCCUUUCAAAAUGUCUUUGACCUCCUCCAAGAGCAAGACCAGAAUUUCUGAACUGGAGAAGUUCGUUGCACGCUUGCUUAAAUUCAUCCUCCAAUUUGAUUACGCUCUUCGUCGACUCGGGUAUCCAGUGACAUGGAGUUUCCCAUUUCAUCCACUUUUGAUUUCGUGGUGGCUAUCCAUGUCCGCAGACCCUGGAGUAGCACGGGCAUCGUCUUCCGGGCGACUAAUCCCACAUCUUGGUCAGUUUGCGUUAGCGCCAAUAGCUCGUCGACUUCCUUUGCCUUGAAGCUUCCGGAGCUAUGUCCGUGUUUUCACCGAACGCCAUGUGAAUGGGCGUAUCAUCCUCUGAUCGGCUAUCCUCAUCCAUAUCAAAAUCUGGAAGAGUUUUCGAUUUUGCCGCCACCGCUCGCUUGGGUCGAUCGUCAGAAACGGACUCCUUUGGUUUUAUUCCAACUUUUGCAGCUGCUUCAAGCGCAAUAAUGGCCGCUUUUCUACGAUCUUCCAUAUU